UACGUAGGGGGCAAGCGUUGUCCGGAAUCAUUGGGCGUAAAGAGCGUGUAGGCGGUUCGGUAAGUCUGCUGUGAAAGUCCAGGGCUCAACCCUGGAAAGCCGGUGGAUACUGUCGGACUAGAGUGCGGAAGAGGCGAGUGGAAUUCCCGGUGUAGCGGUGAAAUGCGCAGAUAUCGGGAGGAACACCUAUUGCGAAGGCAGCUCGCUGGGACGCUACUGACGCUGAGACGCGAAAGCGUGGGGAGCAAACAGG
rnacentral:rRNA from 1 species